UUGUGUGUGUGUCUCUCUCUGAUGGUUGUGUGUUUAUGUUUCAGACAUUAAUGAGUUGAACCUGCCAAAGACGUGUGAGAUCAACUUCCCCGACGACGAUGACCUCCUCAACUUCAGACUCAUCAUCUCACCAGACGAGGGAUUUUACAAAGGAGGGAAAUUUGUCUUCAGCUUUAAGGUAGGACAGGGUUACCCCCACGACCCCCCCAAGGUAAAGUGUGAGACGAUGGUGUACCACCCCAACAUCGACCUGGAAGGAAACGUCUGCCUAAAUAUCUUAAGGUGUGUAAUGGAAGACAUAAUGGAACUGGGACCCGCCACCAGAGAUCAGACGAUAAUGGGCCGAUAACUAGCUAAUAAUGGGCCGAUAACUAG